UCUGGGAACAGAAGUUUCUGACUGGUUUGUAAUUCCCUGGGUUGUCCUUAUUUCCCUUUUUAUAGAUGGGCACUAUAUUUGCCCUUUUCCAGUCCUCUGGAAUCCCUCCUGUCUUUCAUGACUUUUAGAAGAUAAUUGUUAAUAACUCAGAUAUCUUCUCAAUUAGCUCCUUGAAUAUUCGAGAAUGUAUUUCAUCAGGCCCUGGUGACAUGAAGACAUCUAACUCGUCUAAGUAAUUUUUAACUUGUUCUUUCCCCAUUUUA